rnacentral:rRNA from 1 species
UACAGAGGUCUCAAACGUUGUUCGGAUUCAUUGGGCGUAAAGGGUGCGUAGGCGGCGCGGUAAGUCGGGUGUGAAAUCUUGGAGCUUAACUCCGAAACUGCAUUCGAUACUGCCGUGCUUGAGGACUGGAGAGGAGACUGGAAUUUACGGUGUAGCGGUGAAAUGCGUAGAUAUCGUAAGGAAGACCAGUGGCGAAGGCGGGUCUCUGGACAGUUCCUGACACUGAGGCACGAAGGCCAGGGGAGCAAACGGG